UACGUAGGGUGCGAGCGUUGUCCGGAAUUAUUGGGCGUAAAGAGCUUGUGAGGCGUCUGUCGCGUCUGCUGUGAAAACCCGGGGCUCAACCCCGGGCCUGCAGUCGAUACGGGCAGACUAGAGUGCGGUAGGGGAGACUGGAAUUCCUGGUGUAGCGGUGAAAUGCGCAGAUAUCAGGAGGAACACCGGUGGCGAAGGCGGGUCUCUGGGCCGUAACUGACGCUGAGGAGCGAAAGCGUGGGGAGCGAACAGG
rnacentral:rRNA from 1 species